GCAGUGAUGGCCGAGUGGUUAAGGCGUCUGACUAGAAAUCAGAUGGGAUCUUCGCGUGAGUUCGAAUCCUACUCACUGCG
rnacentral:tRNA from 1 species